ACUCCUACGGGAGGCAGCAGUGGGAAUCUUAGACAAUGGGCGCAAGCCUGAUCUAGCCAUGCCGCGUGUGUGACGAAGGUCUUAGGAUCGUAAAGCACUUUCGCCGGGAAGAUAAUGACGGUACCCGGUAAAGAAACCCGCGACAUCCGUGCCAGCAGCCGCGGUAAUACGGAGGGGUUAGCGUUGUUCGGAAUUACUGGGCGUAAAGCGCGCGUAGGCGGACUGG
rnacentral:rRNA from 1 species